rnacentral:rRNA from 1 species
ACGCGACCCCAGGUCAGGCGGGGCUACCCGCUGAGUUUAAGCAUAUCAAUAAG